rnacentral:tRNA from 2 species
GCAGUCGUGGCCGAGUGGUUAAGGCGAUGAACUAGAAAUCCAUUGGGGUCUCCCCGCACAGGUUCGAAUCCUGUCGAUUGCG